rnacentral:tRNA from 1 species
GCUGGCAUGGCGGAAUUGGUAGACGCAAUGGACUUAAAAUCCAUCGGUAAAAACACACCAUACGAGUUCGAGUCUCGUUGCCAGUA